rnacentral:rRNA from 1 species
GUGGCGAACGGGUGAGUAACACGUGGGUAAUCUGCCCUGUACUCUGGGAUAAGCCUGGGAAACUGGGUCUAAUACCGGAUAUGACCUUUCACCGCAUGGUGGGGGGUGGAAAGUUCCGGCGGUAUGGGAUGAACCCGCGGCCUAUCAGCUUGUUGGUGGGGUAAUGGCCUACCAAGGCGACGACGGGUAGCCGGCCUGAGAGGGUGACCGGCCACACUGGGACUGAGACACGGCCCAGACUCCUACGGGAGGCAGCAGUGGGGAAUAUUGCACAAUGGGCGCAAGCCUGAUGCAGCGACGCCGCGUGGGGGAGGAAGGCCUUCGGGUUGUAAACCCCUGUUGCCCGGGACGAAUGUGCAUUUUUGAAUGCAUUGACGGUACCGGGUGAGGAAGCACCGGCUAACUCCGUGCCAGCAGCCGCGGUAAUACGUAGGGUGCGAGCGUUGUCCGGAAUUAUUGGGCGUAAAGAGCUCGUAGGCGGUUUGUCGCGUCGGCUGUGAAAUCUGGAGGCUUAACCUUCAGCGUGCAGUCGAUACGGGCAGACUUGAGUUCGGCAGGGGAGACUGGAAUUCCUGGUGUAGCGGUGAAAUGCGCAGAUAUCAGGAGGAACACCGGUGGCGAAGGCGGGUCUCUGGGCCGAUACUGACGCUGAGG